UUUAGUCAGGUUAAAUCCUUGCGUGGGCCGAGCGGGUAAUGUAACGGAACGUAACUACAGCAUAAGGUAGUGGUGUUUUAAUUAAUAAUAGGUGUGAGCGAGACGGUUUAUGAGUGAGCAGGCACGCAUAUGACGCCGUGUAAGGGUCUGGGCUGCGCAAGCGGCACGGACAGAGGCUAACAGCUGUUUCCGCGGCCGGUCGACAUAAAUUGAUUUAAGAAGAUUUCAACGCGUGCUCAAUAUACAUAAUUACUAAAAUUAACAGUUACGUAAUAAAUAUAUAGUGUGUAUUGGAUAAAUCCCGCUCUAGGGUCCUAAGUUACCGCUGACGUUGAACCUGCCUUGGUGCUUGCGGUUCUGAGGACGUCGCUCCGCAUCGAACGAUUCCUGUCUUCCUGGCGCUGGAAGAUCACCGCAUCCAGAUCGCCGAGCGUGACUGAACGGGAUCUCGCAGGAGAGUACCAACUAUAGCAGAAUCCGAUAGAACCUACCACGACUUUCUUUUUUUUUUAAUCGUGUUACCCUACCAUAAUAUAAAUUUUAUAUUAUAAAUUCUUAUUAAAAUUAAUUAAAAUUAGAAAUUUAACUGAGGCACUA